UCUGGGUGACGAAGUGGUUGAUGCCAUGCUUCCAAGAAAAGCUUCUAAGCUUCAGGUAACCAGGAACCGUACCCCAAACCGACACAGGUGGUUGGGUAGAGAAUACCAAGGCGCUUGAGAGAACUCGGGUGAAGGAACUAGGCAAAAUGGCACCGUAACUUCGGGAGAAGGUGCGCCGGUGAGGGUGAAGGACUUGCUCCGUAAGCCCACGCCGGUCGAAGAUACCAGGCCGCUGCGACUGUUUAUUAAAAACACAGCACUCUGCAAACACGAAAGUGGACGUAUAGGGUGUGACGCCUGCCCGGUGCCGGAAGGUUAAUUGAUGGGGUUAGCUAACGCGAAGCUCUUGAUCGAAGCCCCGGUAAACGGCGGCCGUAACUAUAACGGUCCUAAGGUAGCGAAAUUCCUUGUCGGGUAAGUUCCGACCUGCACGAAUGGCGUAACGAUGGCGGCGCUGUCUCCACCCGAGACUCAGUGAAAUUGAAAUCGCUGUGAAGAUGCAGUGUAUCCGCGGCUAGACGGAAAGACCCCGUGAACCUUUACUAUAGCUUUGCACUGGACUUUGAAUUUGCUUGUGUAGGAUAGGUGGGAGGCUUUGAAGCGUGGACGCCAGUUCGCGUGGAGCCAACCUUGAAAUACCACCCUGGCAACUUUGAGGUUCUAACUCAGGUCCGUUAUCCGGAUCGAGGACAGUGUAUGGUGGGUAGUUUGACUGGGGCGGUCUCCUCCUAAAGAGUAACGGAGGAGUACGAAGGUGCGCUCAGACCGGUCGGAAAUCGGUCGUAGAGUAUAAAGGCAAAAGCGCGCUUGACUGCGAGACAGACACGUCGAGCAGGUACGAAAGUAGGUCUUAGUGAUCCGGUGGUUCUGUAUGGAAGGGCCAUCGCUCAACGGAUAAAAGGUACUCCGGGGAUAACAGGCUGAUACCGCCCAAGAGUUCAUAUCGACGGCGGUGUUUGGCACCUCGAUGUCGGCUCAUCACAUCCUGGGGCUGAAGCCGGUCCCAAGGGUAUGGCUGUUCGCCAUUUAAAGUGGUACGCGAGCUGGGUUUAGAACGUCGUGAGACAGUUCGGUCCCUAUCUGCCGUGGACGUUUGAGAUUUGAGAGGGGCUGCUCCUAGUACGAGAGGACCGGAGUGGACGAACCUCUGGUGUUCCGGUUGUCACGCCAGUGGCAUUGCCGGGUAGCUAUGUUCGGAAAAGAUAACCGCUGAAAGCAUCUAAGCGGGAAACUUGCCUCAAGAUGAGAUCUCACUGGGACCUUGAGUCCCCUGAAGGGCCGUCGAAGACUACGACGUUGAUAGGUUGGGUGUGUAAGCGCUGUGAGGCGUUGAGCUAACCAAUACUAAUUGCCCGUGAGGCUUGACCAUAUAACACCCAAGCAAU
rnacentral:rRNA from 1 species